ensembl:rRNA 5S_rRNA 5S ribosomal RNA
GUCUACAACCAUACUACCCCGAAUGUACCCAAUCCCGUCUGAUCUCAGAAGUUAAGCAGGGUUGGACCUGGUUAGUAGUUGGUUGGGAGAAAAAGCGGUAUACAUAUAGACA